UGGCCUUGACAUAGACAGACCUUUAGUAGAGAUAUAAAAGUGCCAGUUUACUGGAGCUGUUAUAC
rnacentral:rRNA from 1 species